rnacentral:rRNA from 1 species
AUUGAACGCUGGCGGCAGGCCUAACACAUGCAAGUCGAACGGUAACAGGAAGAAGCUUGCUUCUUUGCUGACGAGUGGCGGACGGGUGAGUAAUGUCUGGGAAACUGCCUGAUGGAGGGGGAUAACUACUGGAAACGGUAGCUACUACCGCAUAACGUCGCAAGACCAAAGAGGGGGACCUUCGGGCCUCUUGCCAUCGGAUGUGCCCAGAUGGUAUUAGCUAGUAGGUGGUGGUACGGCUCACCUAGGCGACGAUCGCUAGCUGGACUGAGAGAAUGACAAGCCACACUGGAACGGAGACACGCACCAGACUCCUACGGAGGGCACCAGUGGGGAAUAUUGCACAAUGGGCGCAAGCCUGAUGCAGCCAUGCCAAGUGUAUGAAGACGGCCUUCGGGUUGUAAAGUACUUUCAGCGGGGAGGAAGGGAGUAAAGUUAAUACCUUUGCUCAUUGACGUUACCCGCAGAAGAAGCACCGGCUAACUCCGUG